rnacentral:lncRNA from 1 species
AAUUUCAAAUGGUAGGUCGAUACUACAGCGCGGAGGGCAUUGAGGCUAGGUCGGCCGAGUAUUACGUUGUAGGCAGACGGUGCCCUCACUAUCAGAAAAUCCACCAGCGCUCUAGAUUAUUUCGGAUACCGAUCCGCAACUACAGUCAAAGUUAUUACUCCCUCCACUGGCACAGCAUCGCCAGUAAACCCUACCAACGGGGAGC